GCCUUCGUGGUGUAGUUGUCAGCACGCUCGACGCGAAUUCGAGAGGUUCCUGGUUCGAGUCCCGGCGAGGGCA
rfam:Stegodyphus mimosarum contig675, whole genome shotgun sequence.